GGAUAUUUUGUCAAUGGUCUUAUGUUGAUUAUCUUCUUAAAACUAUUCUUAUCUUAUGUGACAUGCCUUGAAUUGGAUCUUAUGUGCUAUAGGGUGGAGAAAGAGCAAGUUAGCAUAUGACAAGAGAAUUGGGUUCAAAGGUAGAUAGUAUGCAGGUGGUGCUACUACCUCUGGUUUGACAUCGAUUAUGGCUUUCACUCUAUGCAACAUUUUAUUUGAUUUUCAUCGUUCGUGAUCCAUGUGCUUGCUUCACUGUGUGACUUUAGAAGCUCCAUUUCGUAUCCCUAUUUGACCGGGAAUAGAGUUGUGUAAUCCUCAGGCUGUAGGACUAGACAAUGUUAGGCUAAAUUAGGCUUUAUAGUUAAGGGUUUUAAAAUCCAUUACUAAGUAGUUUUGUCUUAGUAAUUGAAGAUAUGACCAUUGUCAUUCAAGUUCCUUUAGUGGAAAUUUGGCCUUUUGUUGUUUCUUUGUAGGGAAUCUCAACAAAUUCAAGCUUGGAAUUGUGAUUAUAAACGAGUUCAGUAUAUGAUCUUGGAGAAGGCAACUGAUAGUAGAAAGGGAUCAGGUUAAAAAUGAUAAAUAUCUUUUGCAUUACUGUAUAACUUUUUAUUCAUUUUCUGAUUUUCAGGUAAACAACCCAUACAAAAGCUACGGUUGAAUUUUCAGCGAGUCAUGUGUCGAGUUGUAAUAAAGAUGUAUUUCAUUUGUAAGACAAUUAUAUGUGUAUAUCAACAUGUGUUUGGUUAAUUGAAUCUUUCUUGUUUAUUAAAUUUUUUUACUA